GGCAGUAAAGGGAGAAGUGAGAUGGUCAAGCUAAUCACUUUGCGCAUUAAUAUUUUGCUAAAUUUAGAACGCUAUAAAAGCGCAUGACGUAGCUGCCUUCACUCAGAGGCUGAAGAUCCAAGAUGGCAGAACAAGGUGCGUAAUACGGUCAAGGUCAAUUUUGAUCUGUUUUAGUUAUCUGCCUAUUUUGAUCUUCUAUUUCUAGACCAUAUUUUUACCAAAGGUUUUUGCCCACCUCCAUCCCCUUUCUUGCCUCCUUUUAUGAUUGAUAUGUAUAUAAUACUAAAAGUGUGUAUAUUUAUUGUUUUUUGUCUAUAUACAAAGUUUGAAUGGUAUAAUUACAGUUAUUGUUCUUAUAACUUUUUUAUUGAUGUUAUUAAACUGAUACGAGUUACUUUACUACAUUUAGAUGUACAAUUUGUAAGUUUUGUAUUUUCUAUAUAAGAUGUAGGUAUUAUUUUCAGUAAGAGGUAUAACUUUUGUUAAUUCUAUCAUAUGUUCUGUAUAUAAUGUCCGAUGUAGGACAUAUGAUUUAGUUUCUAAGAUGGAUACCCAAGUUUAUGUCUUGAAAUUGAUUACAAUGUAUGUUAUGUUCAUGAGAUGGCGGGAUUGGAUCCCCAUCUAAGACUUUUGUGUCAAUACUGAUUAAUUAACAACCGUCGUUUACUAUAAUAAACGGCCAUAUUCAAAUCAGA